CUUGCAACGUUGGAAUGGCAUUUCUGAUUCCAAACACAAGAUGUGGUUACUUUCCGAUGGUGUUAGCCUACUUUUUAGUUAAUGCUUUAUUCAAUCAUUUCUGGUUUUGGUGAUAAGAGGUAAAAGCCUGGAAGUCAUUGAGCAAUGUAUUCAUAGAGUUUACCUGCACACAGAGAGAUUAGAUUUGUAGAUUAGGCUGUAAAAAGGUACGUCUGAGAUGGUACAAGAUAUUACAUUGCUAAUAUUAUUUGUUUAGCAACGUUUAAACAAUAGCAAAAAAAAAAGAAAGUCGGAAAAUUACAAAUAUCUAAGAAAACUGUGUGCAGUUUGCACAUUUUCAGAAUUCACCUUUCAAAUGGCACCAUUAUAUUUACUAGAAUGACUUUUG